rnacentral:rRNA from 1 species
CCUACGGGAGGCAGCAGUGAGGAAUAUUGGUCAAUGGACGAGAGUCUGAACCAGCCAAGUAGCGUGAAGGAUGACUGCCCUAUGGGUUGUAAACUUCUUUUAUAUGGGAAUAAAAUGUUCCACGUGUGGGAUUUUGUAUGUACCAUAUGAAUAAGGCUCGGCGAACUCCGUGCCAGCAGCCGCGGUAAUACGGAGGAUCCGAGCGUUAUCCGGAUUUAUUGGGUUUAAAGGGAGCGUAGGAGGAUUGUUAAGUCAGGUGUGAAAGUUUGGGGUGCAACCGUAAAAUUGCAGUUGAAACUGGCAGUCUGGAGUACAGUAGAGGUGAGCGGAAUUCGUGGUGUAGCGGUGAAAUGCUUAGAUAUCACGAAGAACUCCGAUUGCGAAGGCAGCUCACUGGACUGCAACUGACACUGAGGCUCGAAAGUGUGGGUAUCAAACAGGAUUAGAUACCCGGGUAGUC